rnacentral:rRNA from 1 species
CCUAACCUUAUCAUUUAGAGGAAGGAGAAUUMGUAACAAGGUUUCCGUAGGUGAACCUGCGGAAGGAUCAUUGU